AACCAUUCUCACCUGCGGCUAGACCUGCGGAGGGAUCAUCAUCGAAUUCAUAUCCCCCUCCUCUCCCGGAGGGGGACCCAUGAUAAACCCUUCUGUGCACCGUAACCGUUCACUUUGGCAGGCUUUGGUGGUGAGCGUGAGCUCGCCCCCAACCUCGCGUUCCCUCCUCCCUAAGGGGUGUUACGCGUGACGGCCUGCCGGAGUCCCAUUAAAAAACUCGUUUUCGAACACGUCUGAAAA
rnacentral:misc_RNA from 1 species